rnacentral:rRNA from 1 species
UACAGAGGGGGCAAGCGUUAUUCGGAAUUAUUGGGCGUAAAGGGCGCGUAGGCGGUCGUGCAAGUGGAAGGUGAAAUCCCUCGGCUCAACCGAGGAACUGCCUUUCAAACUGCAUGACUUGAGUCCGGGGAGAGGUGAGUGGAAUUCCCCAGUGUAGCGGUGAAAUGCGUAGAUAUUGGGAGGAACACCAGUGGCGAAGGCGGCUCACUGGACCGGAACUGACGCUGAGGCGCGAAAGCGUGGGGAGCAAACGGG